CGUACAGUACAACUCGUGGGUGUAGCGGGCUACAGUCAUGGCGCGACGGUUGCCUGGGAGGCUGGGAGAUGUGUGGCUCCCGUGCAUAUCCUGACCAAGUGACCUCGAUGAGAAGCUGAUUUCAUGGCGGUUGGAUGCCGUAGAGUCUGCUCAGGCUUUUGGGAAUAAUAACCUGAUAGUUUAAAAUAGGUGUAUGUAUUGCUGAAUUCAUGAAAUCUAGUGGAACUGAAAUCCAAGGGUGUCAACCUGACUCCAUGUUGUUCUAAAUUUACUGCAGGAACUGAGGAGCGCUGCCGCGUCCGCCCGGCCUGCAGCUGCAGGCUGAUUAUGCCACGGGACAUUCAAUUGCUCAAGAGUUAAAUGAUCAGGUUGGUUAUGAACCCGUUGUUUCAGUCAAGGUAUUUACCGUGUCCUGUACUUUUCUAGUGGAUUUGCUUAAUGAUCUAAAAUAAGAGGCUUUACUCGAUGUACUUUUUGUGAGUUGGGCUGCUGAACAACGGUUGCAGCUCAUUUUCCAGCUCGCUGUACAUAAUGUUCAGUAUAGAUAUUCAUAUCUUUUUAAAUUCCAGGCUGGACUAAAGAGAACAAUAAGUGUGUAUUCCCAUCUACAGGCUCAUAAUAAAGGAGUAUUUCAAAAGAUUAAAUUAAGUAGUGGAGAUUUCGAAAUGGGGUUACUCAGCCUCUACCCUUUAUUAAGUUCUUAUCUUGGUUGCACAGCCUUGUAUAUAUUAUCCACCUAACAUAGCAUGAACGCAUCAUUCUGAAGGGUACCCAUAAAGGUUUGGCUGAAUAGGCUACUGUGAUGUUGCUCUGCUAACUCCAGAAAAGAAUUGUUCUCAUAAUUUUCAAAUUCCAAUUAACUUGCAUGCAUGAUAGGUUAGUAGCAUGCAGUUUGAACUAAACUGAAAAGAUAUGCCGUGUGCUUAUUCUGUAGAUAUGGUGAUUGCUUUGGUAUUUACUCAUAUGCAUAUGAUCAUUAUCAUCUUCGGUUACUGUGUAGCCAAUCAAUAUCAUCUUCGCCAAGCAAAACUGACUCGCUGCAUCACAUGGUAAGAUCAUUGGUCAUGCUGGAAUAUGCUGAUCCAAUCUCCCGAUUUCUUGAAGUAGAAUAUGUGAAACACAUCGUCUUGUCAGUUGAUGAUCGUUGUGAAGUAGUGUUGAGAAUGGUUUUGGUUCUUACCAGGUGUAUCAUCUUUGGGCUUGAAUGUGCAGAUACCCUCUGGGCUUGAAUCUGCAGAUACCCCUGCAGAUGAAUCGUUUUUGUCAGUUCAUGUGACAUGGUUAUAUUACUCAAUGGGGUACUCUGCUUAUGAGACACUUCUGCACGAUUAACACCACUCCCAGCUGUAGCAUUCUUUAGCUGGCGGGGUAUACGCUGCCUCUGUAUGUAAUCUGCUUUUUUAUCAGCUGGCAAUCGUGCAUACGAACUUGGACCACUUUGCUGUUUGUUUCGUCGGUGGGUCUGAUUAGUAUGAUUGUUUGGUAGGUGUGUAACCAAGGGAAACUCAUCACGUUUAGAUGCGUCUGGUUGAUCGAGCGAAACAUUUGGGCAGCCCACAUUAGACUUGACACCUGAAUACAUGAAACAUUGGUAUAGCCUCGCAAUAUUUAUGUCCGUAAAGUAAACAACAUGAUGUUGGCAUAUUAGUCUACCUGCUGUAUGGUUGAGCGAACCAUCUGCAUAGGAUUGUAAUGAAUCUGGUUGAGGAAUUUGAGAUACAUUAGUCUGCUGUACAAAUGGAGCCAUGCCUGAAAUAUGAUAGCAGAUGAUAAAUCAGUAUGGCAUAGAUAUACUUGCAUCCCAAAUCACGCCAUAUAUUAUAUAUGUUGCGAGUUAAGAACACAUUAGCUGUUGCUGGUGUCUGCGUGACUCCUGAUUGUCCAGCAGAUGGCGUAUGACAUAUCGCGCUAUCGUUAUUGAGAGUAGCCACUAUAGUUGCUUGUUUUUUAAGUUCUCGUGCUUGACGCCGGCGCUUUGAUAUCUCAUCUUUAUUCUAGCAUAAUAUUCUCUAUCCCUUUGCCUUUUGAUCUCUUUAGGAUCUGCAUGUACGACAAAAUAAACUAUAUGUUCACAUAUAACAGUAAGCAAUUUAAACGCAAUGAUUGUUGUUAAUCAUCUAGGUUUUGCCUGUUGGUUAUGUCCUGAAAUGGAGUACGGUUCGAUGAUGUCAUGUUUUGUUAUGCUUCCUUUGUCUGCAACAGUAAAUGGUAUUAAAAGACUGCAGCAUAUAUAAAAAUUUGAUCUUUUGUUGCACUAAAACACAAUAACCAUAACAGCUUAAAAAAGCUAAAAAGAAAUCUGGGAAAUGAACAAUUGCUAUUUACAGUACACCAUCUCCACUAAUUCAGUAGCUUGCAUUUUAGAUGGGAGUAAGCAUAAUAGCUUCACAAAACAAAAAAGAUGUCUGGGUAGUUAUGGUCAAAAUGAUUAUACACCAAAUAGGACAAGCUAUAUGAAAUUCAGGAUCUUGUUACUGAAUUAAUUAGCACUACCAAUUAAAACCUAUUCAUUACUUUUGGCUCACAUUGCAUUCAUUUCAGAGAGAUGUACCCACAUUGUCCUUGUUUUAACAAUUGUUCCUAACAUUUUUCCACUUGUUUUAACAACGGAAUAUCUUCUCUCUCUACCGAGAAGUGCUAAUUUUGAAAUCCUGAUUGUUUACUAAGAGAGUACUCAGUACUUGGUGUACUUUUAUUUAUCAGGUUUAUCAAUUACUGCUUUCCCACUGCACAAAGCAGUCAAACAUCAAUUCUGGUUGCAAAUGUGUUUAUAUUUUUGAUAUAGCUGCUGGCUAAUAUGUUCUUGUGUUUUAGAUUCUCGAGAUGGACACAUGCAUAUACCAUGGCCAUUCCUCUUCCUCAUGUACACAUACAUUUACUUGCUGGUGAUUUGGGAUGCGAGCCGGCCACCUUGGAGGAGCAGCUGCCGGCGGAAGGUGGGAGGGUUUUGCUAACUGCCUUCUAGCGACAUGGAUGUUUUAGUUUAGGUACCAAUUGGUGACAUGGUUCUCCGUUCGGGUUGAUCUAGACCGUGAGAUGUGUUGAGAUGUGAUUUGGUUGAUUCAGAUUUUAUGGAUCUGCCCCCUUCUCGGAUCUUUUAUAUUAGUGGAGAUGGAGAUGGAGAUUAGGAGGUAAAGAUAUGUUAGCUAACAUUAAUGCUGCCUAAUUACUAAGCAAGCUACCAGGCGUUGUAAUUUAUAUAUGUUAUGUAUAUUGCUGCUUAUGACAUGACAUGAUGCAAAGCAUCAUAUGUGUAUCUAUAUAUCAUGUCGGACAAAUGACCUUUCAAGCUAUUCGCUACUUACAAAACGCCGUGCUUCUUUCUGACA